rnacentral:rRNA from 1 species
GACGAAGGGGCUAGCGUUGUUCGGAAUUACUGGGCGUAAAGCGCGUGUAGGCGGUUGCCCAAGUCGGGUGUGAAAGCCUUGAGCUCAACUCAAGAAAUGCACUCGGUACUGGGUGACUAGAGGACCGGAGAGGAUAGUGGAAUUCCCAGUGUAGUGGUGAAAUACGUAGAGAUUGGGAAGAACACCAGUGGCGAAGGCGGCUAUCUGGACG